CUAAGAAUAUUCCGCAAUGGACGGAAGUCUGACGGAGCGACGCCGCGUGGAUGAAGAAGGCCGAAAGGUUGUAAAGUUCUUUUGCUAGGGGAGAAUAAGUGAGGGAGGGAAUGCACUCAUGAUGACAAGGACUAGAGAAUAAGCCCCGGCCAACUACGUGCCAGCAGCCGCGGUAACACGUAGGGGGCGAGCGUUGUUCGGAAUUACUGGGCGUAAAGGGCAUGUAGGCGGCUUGGUAAGCCGGGCGUGAAAGACUUCAGCUUAACUGUAGGGAUGCGUUUGGACCUGCUUAGCUUGAGUUACGGAGAGGGAGCUGGAAUUCCUGGUGUAGUGGUGAAAUCUGUAGAUAUCAGGAAGAACACCGAUGGCGAAGGCAAGCUUCUGGUCGAUAACUGACGCUGAGGUGCGAAAGUGUGGGGAUCAAACA
rnacentral:rRNA from 1 species